CAAUAGCUUCAUUGUUGAUAAUCAUUUUUUUUUAUAAGAUUGUGGAUUAUCAGUUGAUCCCACUGUUGUAGAAGAGCAUUGGUGGCAGUCAGCUAGGCUCUGCAAAUCAAGGUUUCUAGUUGAAUACAGCUGCUGGUACCAUGUCUCCCUUUGAACAUGGCGAGUUUUUUGUUCUUGAUGAUGGUGGAGAGGUAUUUUACCCUUCCUCUUUACAAAUAGGUGGUGAGAUGAACCUGGCUGCUGGCAUUCAGGUGGCUCAAUUGGCCCUCAAACAUCGCCAGAAUAAGAAGCAGCAACAAAGGAUUAUAGUCUUUGCUGGAAGUGCUGUUAAACAUGAAAAGAAGACUUUGGAGAUGAUUGGAAGAGUAGUGU